rnacentral:rRNA from 1 species
UACGGAGGGUGCAAGCGUUAAUCGGAAUUACUGGGCGUAAAGCGCACGCAGGCGGUUAGUUAAGUUGGAUGUGAAAUCCCCGGGCUCAACCUGGGAACUGCAUUCGAUACUGGGUAACUAGAGCCUUGUAGAGGGGGGUAGAAUUCCAUGUGUAGCGGUGAAAUGCGUAGAGAUGUGGAGGAAUACCGGUGGCGAAGGCGACCCCCUGGACAAAGACUGACGCUCAGGUGCGAAAGCGUGGGGAGCAAACAGG